rnacentral:rRNA from 1 species
CAGCAGCCACGGGAAUACGUAGGGUGCGAGCGUUAAUCGGAAUUACUGGGCGUAAAGCGUGCGCAGGCGGUUGUGUAAGACAGGUGUGAAAUCCCCGGGCUUAACCUGGGAACUGCGCUUGUGACUGCACAGCUAGAGCAUGGCAGAGGGGGGUGGAAUUCCACGUGUAGCAGUGAAAUGCGUAGAGAUGUGGAGGAACACCGAUGGCGAAGGCAGCCCCCUGGGCCAAUACUGACGCUCAUGCACGAAAGCGUGGGGAGCAAACAGGAUUAGAUACCCCCGUAGUCCCUGUCUCUUAUAC